AGGAAAAGAAACCAACUGGGAUUACCUUAGUAACGGCGAGUGAAGCGGUAAAAGCUCAAAUUUGAAAUCUGGUACUUUCAGUGCCCGAGUUGUAAUUUGUAGAAUUUGUCUUUGAUUAGGUCCUUGUCUAUGUUCCUUGGAACAGGACGUCAUAGAGGGUGAGAAUCCCGUUUGGCGAGGAUACCUUUUCUCUGUAAGACUUUUUCGAAGAGUCGAGUUGUUUGGGAAUGCAGCUCAAAGUGGGUGGUAAAUUCCAUCUAAAGCUAAAUAUUGGCGAGAGACCGAUAGCGAACAAGUACAGUGAUGGAAAGAUGAAAAGAACUUUGAAAAGAGAGUGAAAAAGUACGUGAAAUUGUUGAAAGGGAAGGGCAUUUGAUCAGACAUGGUGUUUUUUGCAUGCACUCGCCUCUCGUGGGCUUGGGCCUCUCAAAAAUUUCACUGGGCCAACAUCAAUUCUGGCAGCAGGAUAAAUCAUUAAGAAUGUAGCUACUUCGGUAGUGUUAUAGCUUUUUGGAAUACUGUUAGCCGGGAUUGAGGACUGCGCUUCGGCAAGGAUGUUGG
rnacentral:rRNA from 1 species